GGAAAAAAAAAAAAAAAAAAGAGUACUGUAAAAAAGAGGCUGUAUUUAGAGUUAUGAUAAAUGAUACUGGAAACAUUGGGGAAUAGCAACUGUGCGUUAUUCUUCAACAUCUCACAGUCCUCAUGUAUGGUGCUCUUUUCUCCUGAGCUGUCUGCUUUGCAGAGCAGCUGAUGUCCCCCUGAAGAGAUGUUUGGUCUGUGGAACAACCAUGGCCUAAUUUUUUUCCUUCUGUCCAAGUUUUGCCUUUUUCCUCAGUGAAACCAAGAUUUCAUCCUUCAUACUUAUUUCUGAAGCCAGUGGUAACAGAGGACAUGACAGAUAUGGACAUGCUCAUGCAGCUAUUCAAGUUCAUUUGCUAGUUUUCUAGGGAGUAUUCGCAGACUUGUACUGUCUGCAUGUCCAAUUGCACCCCAUAAUUUCACAAAUGUAAGGAGAACAUAAAUUUGCUUACUCUUGAAGCAAGUUGUGCAAAGUAUCUUGUAAUCACAUCAUUGAUUUUGAGCCAAAUUACGGGAUUAUUUCCUUUCCUUAUUGUGUGUGUGUGAGAACAUGCCUGAGAAUGAGAAGAGUCUCGGAACAUCUGGACAACAUUUUUCUCUGGGUCUACGUAUGCAGUUCCUGAUGUCUGCCAUUCCUGAAGCUCUUGUCCAGACUACAAGACUACAGGCUUAUCACAGGUAUCCUCUUUUUCCUGAGCAUCACCUCCCAUAUUGCUUUUGUGGUCACUUUUCCCCUCUGUAACAUCUGGGAGAUGUUAUAUGGGGGAAUAUUUUUAUCUUUAUUUGCAUUCAUUUAUUGACGUGCCCACUGUUUCUUUGAAUUUGAAAGAGUUACAAGUGGGCUGAAUGAGUAGUGUUUGAGCAGUCAGUGGAUAGAAGUUUAGCAUGACAAUGAAAACAAAAAAUAAUUGUAUUUUUAAACUGUCUUUCUAAUGAGUUACGGAGCUUGAGAAGUGAAGCUUUUAAUCUCUAGCAAAUUAGGAGACACUACUUUAAACAAGGCAUAGGAGGAAACAAAAAAGAGGAAAUCAUCACAAUGUAUGAGGAUUAAUUCCUUACCUCUAGUAGCAAGUGUUCAUUAUAUUAUGAUUGCUGGGGAAAUCCUGGGUUGGAUGCUUGUAAUUAACAUCAGUCAUUAAAAUACCACAAAAUGCCUAACAAAUAUCAGAGAGUGAGAAAAUAUUUGUGUGUUGUAGAGGAAAAACUCAAGGAGCAAAAUGAAAGAAAAUUGAUUACAUGCUUACAAAUGGCAAGCUUUGCACUAAAGUCAAAAUUAGCUUGCUAUCAAAGAAAGUAUAGAGAGUAAGUACUAAAGCUGGAAACGGUUAGGGAAAACAAGUUGUCUGCCUCCUGGAAAACAUGGCAGUGACAGAUUCCACUCAGAGAUUUGUGUACUCGGACCUGGGCUUCUCCCACCUCAGGAAGGAAAAUUAGAAGGACAAGACAGAUAUAGGGCAGAGGGAAAAAAUCCACAAUCUUUCCUCAAAGUCAAUGUUUCCACAUUUUUUAUUUUAAUUGCUCUUCUUUUUCAAGAAAACCACAUGUUUAUUGAGUGAGAAAGAUGAAAAUAGUUUGCCAGAUUAAACUGAGUUCAUCCAGUUGUAGGCCUAUAUAAUUUAUAACUGUUUUUACACAAGCCAGCUGUACCUCCAAUUUCUGCUUCUGUAUUAUGGUCAGGGAACUCAAAAUGCCAGCAACUAUGGUUAACAGUAUUGCUUGGAAAUUUUGGUACUGCACCUUUCCUCAUCAAUCUCAGUAAAACCUGCUAACUGCUAAGGUGGAGAGAAGCAGAAGUUGCCUAGAAGCCACCAAGCUGAAUCCCGGGGCAUGGAAAGCUGCUCAUGGGGCUGUGUCCUUCUCAGAAUAGUGGGCAGCAUGGUCAGGGAUAACCCCAGGCUGUGCAAGCAGUAGCAGCAAGACCACAUCAGUUCUUACUUCAGCUCAAUCCCAGGAAUAGGAGAUGCAGACUGAGGGACUUGCUGGCCACUUGCAGAAAUACCAUACACCUUUAAAGGCUGUGCUGGUGUUGACUGGGCAUUCCCCAAAUCUAUAGCGAGUAAAAUCAGCAGUGGCAUCUUUAUUUAAAGUCAGAGAGAGCUGUGAGAAUUAGUCUUGACAGUAUUUGGCUUAGUGCUAAAACACUUUCAUCUCCAGUUUAACUGGAGUAGAAGAGGGAUGGGAUAGUGAAGGAUACAUGUGAAAGCUGCCUCACGGGUGGAUUGCUGUGUGCCUUGCUGUGGACAGAGUCCAAUGUUGCCUGACUUUUCCCAUCUCACAAAAUAUAUAAACCACCAGUGCUGCACAAGAGCUCUUGUUGCUUUCCAAAGGCCCUGCUGUCCCCAUGCCCGACCAUCCCAAGGCCAGCUGCACCAGGCACCAUCCCAGCUCUCCUGGGUGGCAAUGAAGUACUAUGAAUGUCCGGUAGAAAGAGGCCAAGAAAUCUAAAUAGAAUUCAUAUAUAAAGUCUAUCAAGAGGCAAAUGAGUUCAGCAGACUCCUUAGCCUGCAAUAACAGGUAUUUUACCGACAGGAAAGUUAAUAGAAGCAUUUAGGCAAGGCUGUUCGAUUUACCUGACAGAUUUGUUGUCAGAGCUACUCUCAAAAGCAUGCUACUGGGGACUGUGCUGUUGCUGGUUCAGCUUUUACUGGCAUCCUGAUGGAAAUAAAUUUUAAUAAAGAAACUUAUUUUUCCAAUUAUAUUAAUUUCUAUGUUAGGCAUUGGUAUACCAGGAAAAAUGUGCAGAUAUCCUAUAUAUAGGUAGUAUGAGACCUCCUAUAUGGUGGGCUAGCAUGGCAUCCGCUACUUUCAAAAUCUUAAAAGGAGCAAAAGUCUGGAAUAAAAUGGUGUUUUUUGUCUUUCUCUGGGAAGAAAAGAGGAAGUAGGGCUCUGAUCUUCCAAAUGGACCUAUGUGUAUGACUGGCCCUCUAGUCUAAAUUCAAUGGCAGCUUUGGGGAUGUCUGCAGAUUGAGAAUGACACUUUGCAAUUAAACAAGAAGCUAGUGUCCCUUUCUUACUUUACAAAACUAAUAGAUCUCAUUAACUCAAAAACUGAAGUUUCUGCUUUGGUUUAAUCUAUAGUAUGAGUUUUGCUGAGAUUUCUCCUUUUAUCUACCAUUGUAAGUCUCAGUGUGUUUAAUAUUUUUUUUUUUACACCCUAGAUUUUUUUCUUGGGAACCUAAUAUCACCACUUCAUGCAUGCAACUAUUAACUUGUCUGUGAAAGACAGAGGUUUACACACCAAAGUCUUUAAAUAUUUUUGUUUUAUUUCAAUAACCAUACAGAAAACCCCCAAUUCGCCUGAUUUUCCAUGUUUUCUGCUAAAGUAGGAUGUGCUUCGUGUAGGUCUGGUAUUGAUCCUCCCCUUUGAUCCCAGAUCUUAUUUUUGUUUUGAAGAUUAUUCAAACCUCAUGCCCUUCAAACACCUAUUAUAUGCAAUCUGAUCUCACCUCUGAGAAAUAACCGAUCAAAGUGAUCCACUGAUGUUACCACAAACUUACCAUCAAGUGGCCACAUGAAUUUACACCUCAGCCUUCUGCAGUUCUUAUCCUGACUCCCUGCUAUCAACACCUGGUUAAACCACCUGUCCUUCAGAAGUGUGAUGCAAGGGGCCGCACAGAUGCAUAAGAGAAUAACCCAUAUUGCCAUUAACUUUAAGAAAGCCAAAAUAAGAAAUCUUAUGUACAAGAGGAGUGUGUCUGCUGUUUCCAUAGCUGGGAUAAAUGAUAUCAAAAUCUCACAUGGUCUUUCUCUCAUGGAUUUUGUAUUCCUCCUUUCUGCCUAUGGCAUCUCUACUACAGUUUAGAGUACUCAGUUCAGAGUAAAGAGCCAUUUAAAACAUGAUAUGUUUAAAAUAUUUUUAAUACUAAUCUGUGUGGCAUUAUUACUAAUGCAUUAAUAAAAAUGUGAUUACUGUACCUUUUUCAGACAUUUCUGAAGGAUAAUUAGUCAGCCAGCACAGGAGCAUGCUGUGUCCUACUUAUUAACUUCUAGCUGGGAAAAUGCAUUUGGGAUAUUUUUUAAAAAGCCAAGAGUGAGAGAAGAUAUCAAUAGUUGGUUAAUAGCAAGGUCUUUCCUAAUGCCUGGCUUCCCAGUCAGGUUCUGAGAGUUUUCACUGAGGAAACUGUGUUUUCUUCAGACUUUUUUUUUUUUUUUCAGUGGAAAGUCAAGCCAAAAAACAUCUUCUUCCAGCUGUCUUGGACUAUAUGUUUUUCCCUGUAUUAUCUUACUGUGAGAAGUUCCCAUGGGCUGGGUUUCCUUGUCUUUGCAUUCUGGUGUCUGUGGUGCUGUGCCUGACUACCUGCCCUUCAUCAGCCCAGUCUCCUGCCCCUGCUGGGGGACCGCAGCAGGGAUUUUACAUAAUUUUAGUUUUCCAGCCUCAUGAAAUUCCUGUCAUAACACACAAAAUGGGAAAAAGAAAAAAAAAAGUUAUAAUGUCCAGUGCCCUGGUUAUGUUUGCUAUGUCCAGUAGCUGUGGCUCCUUUCACUCCCAGCAAUGGGAUGCUAAAGCAUCUUUUCAGUUUGUGUCUCAUUAGUAAACCAGAAUAAUGGAUGAUAUUUUGGGAGCCCUGAUUCACUGGCAUCUUAUGUUCCUUUUCUGUGACACUCUUCAUGAACUGAGAGAUAAUGCCAGCUAUGCUUACCAGAUUUCCAUUAAUUAUUUGCAGUCCUAGUUGGUUAACUAGUGACCAUUCAAUAUUAAAUCUCCCAAACUUUAUGCUGGAUUUUUUUUUUCCUAGUACAUUUCCUCAUCUGUAUCCUUCUCACCACCAUAACAGAUGCUAUUACUAUACCAGGAAAGCAGUGUAUGUGCAUUAUAUCAAUGCUGCUUAAACCCAUGUUAAGUCACGCACAAAUGCAGUAAAAAGCAUCUCCUUCAGUGUUUCCAAGUGUAAGCCCCAUCCUAACAUUUUGAAAUCAAAUUUCUAUUUGAAAGAAUGUUGAUUCCUUUUUCCUGUGCUAAAAAUAUUUGAAAAAGCUCAAAUGCCAGUGAAAAGACAGAGUUAGCAAACCAUUCUUUUAGGAUAUAAAGUCAGGUUUUUAUGCCUUUUAAUAGCAGCUCGGCUCUUAUAAAGCUCUCAGGGAGCUGCUACAUGAAAGAACCUCUACAAACAAACAGAUGGUUUUGAUCUGUAUAAACUGUUACUGUAUGGAAAACUAUACUUUUGCUGAUGGAAGCGCAGGUUUUAAGUAAGUCCUUGAUGUUUUGUGUAAGGCAUUGCUGUCCAUUACAUGUGCAAACAGAAAUUCUUUGCUGGUGCCAUGUGCUUUGACUCUGCAGGCGUUAGCAGUUUGUUUCCUGUAAUCUCCUGUGCUGCAGAAAUUAAUUUCUGUACUUUCUUUGUACCACAAUAAAGCGUGCUAUUGUUCUCCUUCUCAAGAGGUUAUAAUACAGCAGCAACACUGGCACUGUUAAAAAAACAGAAGUGGACUUUGUUUGAAAGCUAUUUGAGCAAGUAGUUUGGAGUUAACAACACCAUCUUAGAGCACUGUGGGUUGAGUUAGAUAUGUGCUCCUUACAGGAAAAUCAAGUGGGUUUGGUGUAGGUGUGAGUAUAGCGGUUCAGAUAAACAAGCUUAUCAUCGUCUUUGCAGAUAAAAGAUUUUAUUUAUUUAUUUAUUUAUUUUCCUAUUGUUUCUUUUAAAAAAUGUUUCACUCUUUCUUGGUUUCAUGUUCAUAUUCUGUCCCCAUAGUAUAGUACCUUGCUCGCCAUUAUAAUAUAGCUGUGCAUUUUGGUGCACACUGGGUAAUAGGGCUAAUACCUGUCACAUGCAAUUUUCUUUUGUCUCUUUUCUCCUCAAAGGGAAGGAAUGCUGUUCACUCAGUGCACUGAUUUGCUCUGAAAGUCUAUACACAAAAAAAAUCCAAAUGGUAGUUUAUUUUGAAAAGACAGGUAGUGAGUUCUGCUGAGCUAGAAAAGCAGUGGUGAUAACUGUAUUUCAUUCCAGAAGCUUAGAUUGUGCCGAAGGUAUCCUAGGUCAGGACACUGGUUAACAGAAGUAAGUCUCAAAAUGCUAGCUUGUAAGCAUGAGCUCAUUUGCAUGGGAUGCUGGACUUUUGUCUUGUAACGGCCUGAAAUAAAAUAUAUUCAUCCAGGGAUUUAAAAAUAUCAUAGAAACCAUUACCUUCUGUUAUAAAAAAGAUGAGGGAAAGCUCAACUCUUUUCUUUCAUAUAUGAAGGGAAUUGGAAGGAACUUGCUAUAAUUGAAGCAAGAGAAAGCUCGUAUCUGCACUAGCACCAUCUGCAAGGAUAGGACAUUUCAUACCUUAUCAGAUCAAAGAGAAGAAAACAAAUAAAUUGCCCACACUGUUUGUGGGAAGUGUCAGUAAGAAACUCAGAGUCUCCUGUACCAUGUGCAUAAUUAAACCUUCUUCAGCUUUCAGAGGAGCUUGGGCUUUGGUUGCAAACAGGAGGCUUGGCCAAACAGCAGGAAGAGACAAAAGGACAAUCCCUGUCCCAGCUAGGGGUAGGUGCCUCUGUGGAAAUACAUGUAGGACUGAGAACCCAAAAUUACCUCCUGGAGGCGGUACUCAGAUUCACUUUGCUAAGUUAUCCAGUACCUCAGAAAGAGUUGAUGAGGAAACACAGGCUUUUAUGUCUGCAGGUGUUUCCACAGUGGUGGAGGAAUUGGAAGAAAUAAUAGAUGUUGCACAUGAAGCAAUUGUGCGUGUGAUAAAAUGAACAACCAGACCUCUGCUGGAUGAGUUUCUGAGCCUGUGGACAGCUUGCACUUCUGCCUCAGUGUCUUUGUGUAACAUGCACAGCUAGCAUUAGGAUCAUAGGCAGGACUAUUCAUUUUGAAUAAAAAGCCUUUACCACCUGAGCAGUAGCCACAGGCUCCUUGUCAUCUCUUCCCUGUGGCCACAGGAAUCCCACACUGGUCCACAGUUGUCCUCCCCCCCGUGGGUUGUCACACCCUCAACAGCAGGCUGGUGGUUGCUGCUGUUCCUGCUUAGCAUUUUAAGCCUUUUGCUUUAGAGAUGGGAGCUGAGGGCUUACAUACUGCUCUGCUGCCUGAAGAUGUGCUGCUUUCCACCAUCUUGCUAUACCGAGGUAGCUGUCAGCUCUGUUUCUCAAAGAAAUUCAGCUGACUGGUGCCAGCGUGUGGUCACUGUGCUCAGGUUGGGCUGUUCAGCCUAUUGAGUGGUCUGUGAGUGUGAAGAGAGUUAAUAUUUUUUUGAGAGGGUGCCAAGGAUGCCUGGGCACAUUCUCCCCUCUCUGAUGAAACUUGACCACUGCAUGGUCAAGUCUAUAAGAGCUGUGAAGAUGCCAAAGGAGCCUUGCUCUGUGGUUUGGACAUAGGUGGGGAGGAGGACAUAGGGUCCUGGGACCCUCCCUGGGUUUCAGAGGUCCCAAUGCUACCUCAGUUGCACUUGGGGCACACAAACCCUUUUCUAUUUAUUCCAGAGACACUUUAAGAAACGUUUACAUGUGGAUUUUCAAGAAGAAUUUAGUCCAAAACAGCUCCAGUCAGGUAGGUAAAAUGACGAUGCUAUACCCAGCAAUUUAGAGCUGAAUAAAAACACCCAAGCAGCCCUGUGCUUCUCAUUUUAUAUUCAUGCAGUGCCCUGAAAUUAAACCAACAUAAGGCUGAAGUAACAGUGACAAAUGGUUUCUCUGCUUUCCACAGAGCUCGUUUAGAAGAAGGUAAUUUAUUUAAAACUAUAGUGUGAUUUAACUUGCCAGACCUUUCUGAGGGCCUAAAUAAAACUGCAAUGAUUAUACUUUCUCAUCUGUCUCACAGAGAUAACCACCAAUUAUGCUGGCCUGAUCUGUUCCUCCCAGCAGAGGAAGAAAUUCAGUUAGGAUAUGUCACCCACUCACAGAGAAAAUACAGUUUGGAAUAUCUGGAUGACUAUAUCUGUGAGGGUCAUUGCACCAUGCUUUCCUGAUUUCUUUUUACAUUUAAUAACGUAUUAUUUUAUGUUACAUUUUUUCAUUUCAAUGCACAGCUUUUAUUGCUCACUGGGAAUCGCUGUUAGCUCCGACCUGUGAAGCCCUGUCCAGACAACUACCUUCUGUCUGUCCGUCCCCCACAGCUCUCGUAUCUCGUGUAUCUCCUCCCCUUGCUCCCAGGCUUGAGCCCUGCUCUGUCUGUGCACUGGAACUUGCUCACUGCUGAGGGCAACCUCUUUCCCUUUCCUAAUUUAAUUACUUCUCCCUAAUACCAGCCAGGUCCCAGCUGGGUACUGUCAGUCCUGGCAGUGCCGUGUUCCCAAGAAACCGAGAGCGAAUGUUUGACAUGAAGGGAAUGGGAAUAUCUGCAAUCCAGCAGUGCCUGAGGGAUGUGUUAGGGUAAGCUGCAUAUUUGGUGAAAAGAGAAAGAACGGAGCCUUCUGAAUCCUUAAGGGAACCUGGCAGAGAGAGCCAGAGGUACAGACGUGGCCGCAUUCAAACUUCCCUGUAAACAAGUGAUUUUGGAGAGGUAAAAAUUUCCACAGUUUUAUGUACAAGCCCGGAGGCACUGGAAAUCCCCAAUGCAUCCUGGUGGGGACAUUAAAGGAUUGUGUGAAGCUACACAAAGAUCAUUCAGAAUUUUACCAGAAAUUUUGGCUCAUGUAAAACUGUCACUUGGCAAUUAUGAAUUUUUUCAUAGGAAACCAGCUGCCAGCUGAGAAACUGUUGGCUGCUGUGUUACAUGCAUUGCAUUUACAAAGCUAUUUUAUAGGGUGACAGGCCAAAAUACAGUUUCCAAAUGCAGUUUGCAUCUUCAAAGUAUUUUUUAUAUCUGUAUCCAUGGGAUGUCCUGUAGAAUGAGACACAUUAAGGAUAGCUGACAUAGAUAGUGCUGUUAAUGUGCCUCUGAACUCUUAAUGCACCCUGCUGCUCUGGAGAUAGAGCAGAGGUAGGAUGGGCUUAAUGGUUACUAGAAAGCCAGUUCAGUCAGGACAGUAAGGCUUGGCAGGUUAAGACCUGCUUAGAUCUUGAUUUGAACGAAGCAAGGAUGGUUAUAAACACUCUUCUGAUUCAAAUGUGUUCCCAGUUUGGGGGAUGAGCUAUAGAUUUGGGUGCUCUGCUUCAAUGGUGAAAGCAAAAUCUGCAGAUGGUGUUGUUAUUCUAAUUAAAAUAUAGCUCCAACUUAAAAUGCUGGUUCCUACUCAUUGGGAAAUCUUGUUUCUGAUCUGGAAAUCUUCUUUCUGGCUUUUUCCAGGGCUCGUUUGCUGAAAAAAAUGACCCAGUCACAUCCUUGCUACUGUGCAGAGAUGCCAGCUCAGAGAAGGUGGCAAGAGAUCAGCAAGCCCUGAAUGUGACGUGAUGCUGCAGCACGUCAGAGGAGUCCUGGUGGACCCAGAGCUUCAGGAGGCCAGAACAUCUCCCGGGACUCUCAGAAAACCCUGGACCACCUGUCCAGAAAAUACAGUGCCUCCCCACGCCACUGCAGUGGGCCAACACACGCCUUGCUGAUCCAGCAUCUGCCCAUCCCAGUCCCAAAAUCUCUGGUAUGGGGAUUUGGUGACUUUGUGUGCCAGAGCAUUGUGUUUCUGUGUAUUUAGCCUCAAGAUGCCGGAGAAGGAAUACAGUCACAGUUGUGGAUAGUAAGCUGAACUAGCCAUUUUAUUGCUCAGUUCGUUUGGCUAUCCUAAAUAUCUUGCCUAUCAUCAGUUAGGAGCAGAGAUGUGAGCACGUGUAUCCUAGGUCUUGAGUUAGCAUGUAAGUUACUGGGCAGUAUUUUCUUUCUAAACCUCUAUUUGUGACUCUGGGGUGAAUAGGAAAAAAUUAAAUUUCUCCAGACAGACUAGGUACAGUCAAGUCCUUGAUGCCACUGUUACAUAAACUUCAGGUUUAUAUUUAGCAGUGUUUUCUAAAAAGCAAUGGCCAGAAAUAGCAAAUAAUUCUGUUCUUUCACCUGAAGCAAUCAGACUCUUCCCAUCUUCUGUGUUUACAUUGUGUCUCACCCAGUCUUCUUCAGAAAUACUCAAAGUAAUCAAGUUUAACUAAAGGGAAUGUUAAAAAUUAAUUUCCUACUAAAUUCCUACUACUUUUGUGAAAGUAAGUAGCUGGGUGAAGGGGUGAAUGUUAAUCUUUGUUAAUGUUCCCACUAAAUGAGAGACUUCAGUAGGAACUCAUUCUUUAUUAGGCAUCAGAGAACCCACAGAGACUCAUUCUUGCAUCCCAAGUUUGAGGAAACAGUUUCCUUGAUGGUGUUGGUUGUAAAACUACUUAGUUCAAUCAGCAGUGGUAAGUCUUGUGCAAAAAUACUGCCAAAGAAGAAAGUGUUUUGAAGAAAGUAGCGAGCGAGUUAAGAACAUGAAAUUCCUGCUACAGGCAAAAGCACAAUGCAAUAUUCAAUUAUACUGGUAAAACAUCAAGGUUUUUUAAUUUUUUUUUCUUUUUUUCUUUUCACUCCAAUUAAUUAAAUACUCCUAUGUCUUGAAUAACAGAAAGACGGGAAGCUUUUUCCAACACCCCAGUGAGAACAACCCCAGCAACUCAAAGCACUAGAUAAAAUAUGGAAGGAAAAUAAGUCUUUGUAAUAAGAUACCAAUUCAAUAUUCAGAAACUAAUGUGCACAUGCAAUCCUUUUUGCAUGUGCACAUUAUUUUUCCUUGAGCUCUGCAUUUCCGAGAGACCAGUCUUAUAGUAAUCACUUUAAUUCAAGUGAUAAUCUGAGCAAGGACUGAAGGACGUGGUACUACAGGUACAGCAAAAAGCCAGUCUUCAAGGAGAGUCGUGCAAGGUGUUUUUAUCUUUGACAUGCUAAAACACACACUAUAAACAUAUAUGACUCCAUUGCUAUUCUCAGUCAAAUAGAUCUUCUAAACCAUCUAAACUGAAGAAACUUUUUCUCUGUGCUUGCUUGUUUUUGGUCUUCCGUUUAAAUUUUGGAGGGGUUAGAGGAAAAGGAGGAUCUGCCUCUGAAAUCUGUAACUCCUGUUUUGCUCUGGAUGUGGCGUAGUUCCCAUAAACUCUAGAAACAAAAUAUCAAGUAGGGUUGAAAGUUUGCUUGGGGCAUUCGGUUCAUGUUUGUACUAGUCUGACAGAAAUCACAUUUUGAAGAGACUUAUCGAGACUUUAAUCUCUCCACAGAGAGCUGAACGGCUGUGGCAGGCUUGACAAUGCUAUUCAUUUUUGGAGCCUCACCAGCAAAACAAGUGCUCGGCACAAAGGGGCAUAUAGAGUCUAGGCUACUGUACAGCUCAUGCAUCUGUACUUAUCCGACUAGCAAAGAAUAUGCUGUAUAGGUCAUAUGAGUGGAAUAACGCUAUUUUCUGUUCUGUGUCCUGUAGAUUAGCGUUCCCCGGAGUCAUCUAGUGCUAAUUAAUGAUACAACGCAUACCUCCCUAUUGAUCAAAGAGGUGAAGAAAAAGUCUUGAAAGCAAAAGUACUUUAAACACAGGGAACAAGUCAUAUUACAUCUUACACACUAUUUGAAUCGUUGGCAUAUAUAUGUCUAUUGGUGUGUGACUAAUAUACACCAUGCUUUAUGAAAGAGUUAAGCCCUUGCUAUUCAGCAUGUGUGUCCACUUUAACAGUAGGGGUUUAAUGCUUUUAUAAAAACUUAAUAAAACCUAUAUAAAGUACAGUUUCAUUUUACAUCGAUGUCCAAAUCUCCUUAAGUCUUUGAUCUUAUGCACACAGCUGGAAUGUUAAACAAAAAGUUAUGUCCCUACAGUUUCUUAGCGGUGAAAAUAUAACUACUAUCAACACACAAAAAGGCAAUAUUCCCUCUCCCCAACAAACAAAUAUAGUAGAGAAACAACAUCAA